rnacentral:rRNA from 1 species
UAGCCGCAAACGAUACUCGCUAGGUGUCGGCCACGGUGCGACCGUUGUCGGUGCCGUAGGGAAGCCGUGAAGCGAGCCACCCGGGAAGUACGGCCGCAAGGCUGAAACUUAAAGGAAUUGGCGGGGGAGCACAACAACGGGUGGAGCUUGCGGUUUAAUUGGAUUCAACGCCGGAAAUCUUACCGGGACCGACAGCAACAUGAAGGCCAGGCUGAAGACUUUGCCGGAUUAGCUGAGAGGUGGUGCAUGGCGUAGUCGUGU